rnacentral:tRNA from 1 species
GGAGAGGUCGCAUAGUUGGUCUAGUGCAGCGGUCUUGAAAACCGCCAUCCGAAAGGAUCGCGAGUUCGAAUCUCGCCCUCUCCG